CCUACGGGCGGCAGCAGUGAGGAAUAUUGGUCAAUGGACGAGAGUCUGAACCAGCCAAGUAGCGUGAAGGAUGACUGCCCUAUGGGUUGUAAACUUCUUUUAUAUGGGAAUAAAAUGUUCCACGUGUGGGAUUUUGUAUGUACCAUCUGAAUAAGGAUCGGCUAACUCCGUGCCAGCAGCCGAGGUAAUACGGAGGAUCCGAGCGUUAUCCGGAUUUAUUGGGUUUAAAGGGAGCGUAGGUGGAUGGUUAAGUCAGUUGUGAAAGUUUGCGGCUCAACCGUAAAAUUGCAGUUGAAACUGGCAGUCUUGAGUACAGUAGAGGUGGGCGGAAUUCGUGGUGUAGCGGUGAAAUGCUUAGAUAUCACGAAGAACUCCGAUUGCGAAGGCAGUUCACUGGACUGCAACUGACACUGAGGCUCGAAAGUGUGGGUAUCAAACAGGAUUAGAUACCCCAGUAGUC
rnacentral:rRNA from 1 species